rnacentral:rRNA from 1 species
UACGUAGGGGGCAAGCGUUGUCCGGAAUCAUUGGGCGUAAAGAGCGUGUAGGCGGCUCGAUAAGUCUGCUGUGAAAGUCCAGGGCUCAACCCUGGAAGGCCGGUGGAAACUGUCGGGCUAGAGUCCGGAAGAGGCGAGUGGAAUUCCCGGUGUAGCGGUGAAAUGCGCAGAUAUCGGGAGGAACACCAAUGGCGAAGGCAGCUCGCUGGAACGUAACUGACGCUGAGACGCGAAAGCGUGGGAGCAACAG